AUACGGAGGAUCCGAGCGUUAUCCGGAUUUAUUGGGUUUAAAGGGUGCGUAGGCGGACUAGUAAGUCAGUGGUGAAAUCCUGCAGCUUAACUGUAGAAUUGCCGUUGAUACUGUUAGUCUUGAGUACAUUUGAGGUAGGCGGAAUGUGGUGUGUAGCGGUGAAAUGCAUAGAUAUACCACAGAACACCGAUUGCGAAGGCAGCUUACUAAACUGUAACUGACGCUGAGGCACGAAAGCGUGGGUAUCAAACAGGAUUAGAUACCCUGGUAGUCCACGCUGUAAACGAUGAUUACUGGUUGUUUGCGAUACACCGCAAGUGACUGAGCGAAAGCAUUAAGUAAUCCACCUGGGGAGUACGUCGGCAACGAUGAAACUCAAAUGAAUUGGCGGGG
rnacentral:rRNA from 1 species